UACAGAGGUCCCAAGCGUUGUUCGGAUUCACUGGGCGUAAAGGGUGCGUAGGUGGUGAGGUACGUCGGAUGUGAAAUCUCCGGGCUCAACCCGGAAAUGGCAUUGGAAACUACCUUGCUUGAGGGUUUGAGGGGGGAUUGGAAUACUUGGUGUAGCGGUGAAAUGCGUAGAUAUCAAGAGGAACACCUGAGGUGAAGACGGGUUGCUGGGCUGACACUGACGCUGAGGCGCGAAAGCCAGGGGAGCAAACGGG
rnacentral:rRNA from 1 species